UACGGAGGGUGCAAGCGUUGUUCGGAAUCACUGGGCGUAAAGGGCGCGUAGGCGGUUUGAUAAGUCAGAUGUGAAAGCCCACCGCCUAACUGUGGAAGUGCAUUUGAAACUGUCAGACUUGAGUAUCAGAGGGGAAAGUGGAAUUCCCGGUGUAGAGGUGAAAUUCGUAGAUAUCGGAAGGAAUACCGGUGGCGAAGGCGACUUUCUGGCUGAAUACUGACGCUGAGGCGCGAAAGCGUGGGGAGCAAACAGG
rnacentral:rRNA from 1 species